UUUAAAGGGCCGCGGUAUUUUGACCGUGCGAAGGUAGCAUAGUCAGUAGUCUUUUAAUUGAAGGCUUGUAUGAAGGGCUGAACGAGGGGUUAGCUGUCUCUUUUAUGUUGUAAGAAUUUAACUUUUGAGUGAAAAGGCUCAAAUUACCUAGAGGGACGAUAAGACCCUAUAAAACUUAAUACAGGUUUGAUUAGGUUACGAUUUUAGUAUAAAGUGGUAUUAUUAAGUUUGUAUUCCGUUGGGGCGAUGAAGAUAUAAUUUGUAACUGUCUGUCAAAAUAUAAUAGUUAUUGCUAGAAUUUGAUCCUGCUUUGUGGAUUAUAAGAAUAGUUACUUUAGGGAUAACAGCGUAAUUUUCUUUGAGAGUUCUUAUCGACAAGAGUAGUUGCGACCUCGAUGUUGAAUUAAAAUUUCAGCUAGGUGUAGCUGUUUAGCUGAUAGGUC
rnacentral:rRNA from 1 species